GACGAACGCUGGCGGCGUGCCUAAUACAUGCAAGUCGAACGCAGUGGAGACGGGUGAGUAACCCGUGGGUAACCUCCCAUCAGAGGGGAUAACACUUGGAAACAGGUGCUAAUCCGAUACUGGUGUCUGGACCCGCGGUGCAUUAGCUAGUUGGUGAGGUAACGGCUCACCAAGGCCACGAUGCAUAGCCGAACGGGAAAGGGGAGCGGGCACACCGGGACUGGGACAAGGGCCAGACUCCAACGUGAGGCAGCAGUAGGGGAGCUGCGGAAAUGGGGGGAACCCUGACCGAGCAACGGCGCGUGAGUGAAGAAGGGGUUGGGAUCGUAAAGCUCUGUUGUGAAGGAAGCGGUACUUAACCAGAAAGGGACGGCUAACUACGUGCCAGCAGCCGCGGUAAUAC
rnacentral:rRNA from 1 species